UACGCAGGGUCCGAGCGUUGUCCGGAAUUACUGGGCGUAAAGGGUGCGCAGGCCGCGCGGGCAGUCAAAUGUGUAAUCCAGGGGCUCAACCCCUGAACUGCGCUUGAUACUUCCGCGCUCGAGCUUUGGAGAGGAGUCUGGAAUUCUCGGUGUAGCAGUGAAAUGCGUGGAUAUCGAGAAGAACACUUAGGGCGUAGGCAAGACUCUGGACAAAUGCUGACGCUCAUGCACGAAGGCUAGGGUAGCGAACGGG
rnacentral:rRNA from 1 species